rnacentral:lncRNA from 1 species
GCCUCUCGCGGCCUGUGUCACGCGUGGAUCUGAGUCAUGAAGGGAGCCGCGGGGCCAAACUGUGUGUAUCGUUACUAUUCGCAUGAUGCUUGGAUGUCCCGAGAGCGGGAAGUACCGGCUCGGCCCUCUCUCUGUCCGGAUUCCCGCCUCUUUGAGACAGGGGCGGACAGCGCCACCUCCCAGGCCGUCCGAGCUCCGAAGGGGGCGGCGAGCAGGCCCCGGCCCUCCCUCCGCGCCGCCCUCGCUGCGGCCCCAGCUGCGCUCCCGCCGCGCCCUCCCGAGAGACGAGAGACUGGGCGCAUCGCGAGCCCCUGAGCCCUCAGGACAGGACGAAGUCUGCUUGAACGAGCCUUCCUCAAAAGCCUGGGUCUCGAAAAAUAAACCAGUUGGACAAACAUUGGCCACCAGCUCUCCUCCUCCCAGCUACAAAGUGUGGAUUUGAUACAACUCAUUAACCCGACGCUUUUCUCCCCUUCUCCUUGUUUCUCUGCUCAUCAAACGCCCCGUAGAGCCUGGAGACAAAUGACCGGAGGGCAGGCGGGAGGGAAUUGCAGUUAAUAGGGAGAGGGCUAUAUUGGGGCUAAUGGUUCAGGCGGCUCCCGAGCGAGCAGGACCACACAAAAAGGAGCCUCUCCAUUCAGGGCUCUGUUGUGCUGCCCAGAUGUAAUCUGCAGCUAGAUUUAGCCGAAUGUUAUCUAUUGCCGAGGUAAUGAAGCCCUUAUGGGUUGAAUUGCUCCUUGUCCCACACACGGUGUCGUGACCUUAGAUCGUUUCUUGGUUGAUUUCUUUUUUCUCCAUUGGGCAAUUAUUUUAUUUCUUUAAAAUAAGCUAGCGCGUCUGCUCAAUAACGUGUUUCCUCUCCAUCGCUAUCCCGUGCAUUUAUUUGAGAGCC